AUGACGCUACCUGCAUCCAGAGCGGAUAAACUAGCAACAUCCCAUAAUGGAAAAACUACAAAAAGGAUCAUAUUCUGUCUGCUUUUUGCUGGUAAAGUUAAUGAUUUCAUGUUUCUUACUAUUUUUAAAUCUUUAAUUUUUUGGGAAGUCAAUCAGCAGCUUCUCCUUUCAGGGAUUUUCAGCCCUGUGUUUUGUGAGGACUGGAAAGCCUCUGUUGUUCCGAGCCUUGAAACGCUGGUGUCCUCCUGUGUCGUGGUACCCUGUACGUUCACCCAUCCUCAUGGAACCAAACUCCAGACUCAGGCAUCUGGUAUCGAAAUGAACAAAAGGAAGAAACCGUCCACCAAGAGGACCAGUCAAGGGUCUUGGACAGCUUUAAGGAUUGAAAGAUUUUGGGAGACCUGGGCCAAAACAACCCACGUCUCGCUUUACAUCCAUCAUUUAAUGGCUGUAAGGGAUCAUGACAACGGUCCGUUCUGUGUUCACAUGAACAUGCUCAGUAUGUGGCCAUCUUUCCAUAACUUUAUGAAUCAGUACCAACAUUUCUGCUUAAUACAUAUUUGCUUGAUGUUUUAUUUAUCCUUUUUUUGUUAGAUGAUCCUUCAGAACCUGACUUGAGUCACUCAAAGAUGGCCUCUAAAGGAAAACCACACUUGAUCACCUGUUCAGUUCGCCACACCUUCCCUUCACUCGUGUCAACAAUCACUUGGAGCUGGAAACAAAGAUGAUGUCUUAGAAAGUCAGAAAGUCAUUUGUUCUGGAAAAUAGGAGACAACUUCUUGGUUGUUUCAGGCACCAUUUUGUUUAGAAGAGUGGCGCUUAUGAAUGUUUUUGUUUUUUAUUCCUUUUCAGUGCUCCAGAGCAUUUGCCUCGUCUCUUUUCUGUUUUUAAUUGACAGAUUGGAAUAUAUUUCAUUAGGAUUGGGAAUCAAUAGCCAGUUCUUAUUGAGAACCAGUUCCCAUUGUUUCAAUUCCUAGGAAUUGUUCGGCACUUCUGCACACGAUUCCACUUAUCAAUUCCAGUUGGAGCGAAUUACAUCAUCUCGCACAUUUGCGCAGCUGCA
rnacentral:lncRNA from 1 species